rnacentral:snRNA from 1 species
AUCGCUUCUCGGCCUUUUGCUAAGAUCAAGUGUAGUAUCUGUUCUUAUCAGUUUAAUAUCUGAUACGUCCCCCAUCGGGGGACUACAUAUUAAAUGGAUUUUUCGAACAGGGAGUCGGAAAUGGGGCUUGCUCCGUCCGCUCCACGCAUCGACCCAGGUAUUGCAGUACCUCCGGGAACGGUGCAACACUU